AAGCCAUGCAUGUCUAAGUAUAAGCAAUUAUACCGCGAAACUGCGAAUGGCUCAUUAAAUCAGUUAUCGUUUAUUUGAUAGUACCUUACUACUUGGAUAACCGUGGUAAUUCUAGAGCUAAUACAUGCUAAAAAUCCCGACUUCGGAAGGGAUGUAUUUAUUAGAUUAAAAACCAAUGCCCUUCGGGGCUCACUGGUGAUUCAUAAUAACUUUUCGAAUCGCAUGGCCUUGCGCCGGCGAUGGUUCAUUCAAAUUUCUGCCCUAUCAACUUUCGACGGCUGGGUCUUGGCCAGCCAUGGUGACAACGGGUAACGGAGGGUUAGGGCUCGACCCCGGAGAAGGAGCCUGAGAGACGGCUACUACAUCCAAGGAAGGCAGCAGGCGCGCAAAUUACCCAAUCCCGACACGGGGAGGUAGUGACAAUAAAUACUGAUACAGGGCUCUUUAGGGUCUUGUAAUUGGAAUGAGUACAAUUUAAAUCCCUUAACGAGGAACAAUUGGAGGGCAAGUCUGGUGCCAGCAGCCGCGGUAAUUCCAGCUCCAAUAGCGUAUAUUAAAGUUGUUGCAGUUAAAAAGCUCGUAGUUGAACCUUGGGCCUGGCUGGCCGGUCCGCCUCGCCGCGUGCACUGGUCCGGCCGGGUCUUUCCCUCUGGGGAACCGCAUGCCCUUCACUGGGUGUGCUGGGGAACCAGGACUUUUACUUUGAAAAAAUUAGAGUGUUCAAAGCACGCCUAUGCUCGAAUACAUUAGCAUGGAAAUAAUAGAAUAGGACGUGUGGUUCUAUUUUGUUGGUUUCUAGGACCGCCGUAAUGAUUAAUAGGGACAGUCGGGGGCAUCAGUAUUCAAUUGUCAGAGGUGAAAUUCUUGGAUUUAUUGAAGACUAACUACUGCGAAAGCAUUUGCCAAGGAUGUUUUUCAUUAAUCAGACGAAAGUUAGGGGAUCGAGACGAUCAGAUACGUCGUAGUCUACAUAACUAUGCGACUAGGAUCGGAC
rnacentral:rRNA from 1 species